UCCGACGUAGCUCAGUUGGUAGAGCGGGUGACUGUUAAUCACCAUGUCCCGUGUUCAAGUCACGGCGUCGGAG
rnacentral:tRNA from 1 species